rnacentral:tRNA from 1 species
ACUUUCUUAGUAUAACCAGUACGCCUGACUUCCAAUCAGCGAGCUCUAGAUUAACCUAGAAGAAAGUA